GAUGGCUGAGUAAACCUUUUGAAACUACAUCUCUCUGUCAACUCCACUCCUUCGUUAUCCGGGGACGCCCGAAGACUGCAGGCAAUUGGGAUUAAGUUUAGGUCACACAGCAGAGCACCAGGGCCACCCCAAAUGCCCCCAGGCUGCAUUGACAAGGCUGGUGCAAGUAUGGGCUGGUGAGAGCUUCAGUGCCCUCAUCUCCACAGGAGAUAUAGCUGGGGAAGAGGAAGUGGAAGAGGAGGAAGAGGAGGACAAGGAGGAGGCAGAGGAGGAGGAAGAAGAAGAAG